GGGGAAUCUUCCGCAAUGGGCGAAAGCCUGACGCAGCGACGUCGCGUGGGGGAUGAAUGCCUUCGGGUUGUAAACCCCUUUUGUUUGGGGCGAAGUUCUGACGGUACCAAACGAAUAAGCCUCGGCUAACUACGUGCCAGCAGCAGCGGUAAUACGUAGGAGGCGAGCGUUGCCCGGAUUUAUUGGGCGUAAAGGGCGCGUAGGCGGCCUGGAAAGUCCUUUGUGAAAUUUCCCGGCUCAACUGGGAGGGGUCAGAGGAAACUACCAGGCUUGAGGGGAGCAGAGGAGAACGGAAUUCCCGGUGUAGCGGUGAAAUGCAUAGAUAUCGGGAGGAACACUUGUGGCGAAGGCGGUUCUCUGGGCUCUUCCUGACGCUGAGGCGCGAAAGCGUGGGGAGCAAACCGGAUUAGAUACCCGGGUAGUCCACGCCGUAAACUAUGGACACUGGGUACAGGGGGUAUCGACCCCCUCUGUGCCGAAGCUAACGCGUUAAGUGUCCCGCCUGGGGAGUACGGCCGCAAGGCUAAACUCAAAGGAAUUGACGGGGGCCCGCACAAGCCACCGGAGCGUGUGGUUUAAUUCGAUGCCAAGCGAAGAACCUUACCUGGGCUUGA
rnacentral:rRNA from 1 species